GGGAUAAUAGUAUAGUGGUCAGUACUUCUCGUUGUGGAACAUUGAUUCCGAGAGGACCCAGGUUCGAUUCCUGGUUAUCCCA